AAUCAACGCUGGCGGCGUGCCUAACACAUGCAAGUCGAACGCGAAAGCCCCGCAAGGGGUGAGUAGAGUGGCGAACGGGUGAGUAACGCGUGGGUGACCUACCUUUGCGUGGGGGAUAACGUCUCGAAAGGGACGCUAAUACCGCAUAACAUCCCGCCUUUGGAUAGGUGGAGAUCAAAGCCGGGGACCGCAAGGCCUGGCGCGUAAUGAGGGGCCCACGUCCGAUUAGCUAGUUGGUGGGGUAANGGCCUACCAAGGCUACGAUCGGUAGCCGGCCUGAGAGGGCGGACGGCCACACUGGGACUGAGACACGGCCCAGACUCCUACGGGAGGCAGCAGUGGGGAAUUGUUCGCAAUGGGCGCAAGCCUGACGACGCAACGCCGCGUGGAGGACGAAGAAUUUCGGUUCGUAAACUCCUGUCGAGCGGGACGAACAUCAUCGGGGUGAACAGCCUCAGUGACUGACGGUACCGCGAGAGGAAGCCCCGGCUAACUCCGU
rnacentral:rRNA from 1 species